AGAAGUUAACAGUGCAGGAGAUUGCAUCAAAAUAAAACGAAGGAAUUGGAGUUGUUAACAAUGUAAAGAUGAUCAUUUAAGUUGAUGUUUUGACCGAUUUUAUCUUUAGGUUCCCUCUAAGAAAUACCAACAGAGGCCAUAAUUCUAGUCGACUACACAUGUGCAAGUAUGGAAAUAUAUGUUCAUACUGCAUGCUGGCUGGAUAAGUUUAAUGGGAACUCCGAUUUACCUUGUUCAUGUACUUUUCGACAACUGAAGGAAGGUCGGAGCGCGGUUUGUAGUUGCCGAAGAAGGUGCCCUUGAGAGUCCUCUCGUUCAGGACAUUCAUUGGAUGGGUUUUGAAAGAAUCAUCUUUGUUCGGCACACCAACAAGUACAGCAACGCCCCAUCCAUCAUGGACGCAUUCAAAUGCAGAAAUCAUGGCAUUGACACUUCCAGUACACUCGACACUUCGAUCAACUCCUCCAUUGGUCAUUUCAGCAAUCACCUGAGGACAGUAAAACAAAAUUAGGACAGACGUAAAGGAUUCGCCGAUGAUAGUCUCUCAGAACCCGAUUCACUGUGUCACUUACCUCUUGAACAGGCUUGUUAUGAUCUUUUGGGUUCACAAACUCAGUCACACCAAAUUUCUUGGCUGUUGAAAAAACACAAAUGAACAUCAGAAAGCAGUUAUUAUCACCAAGAUUCAACAUCAAGUCCACUUAAAUAUAUCAAUUUUGUGAUAUUAGCUAUUAGACUGAGCAAAGCAUCAAUCAAUAAUUUAAGCGAAAUGCGCAGCAGCCACAACGAACAUCAUCAUAGCUUCUCUCACCUUCAUCGAAUCUAUUGGAAUUCAAAUCGACACCAAUGAUUCUUGAAGCACCAGCAAUCCGAGCCCCUUCAGCAGCCUAGAUUAGGAAAAAACAACAAGAACAAGUUCUGCAUUAGCACUACCAGCUGCUUGAACAGAAAAAUUCAUCAUUAAUGUACCAGUAUAAACAAACUUACCGCAAGGCCUACAGCUCCUAGUCCGAAAAUGGCUACUGAAGAGCCUUUCUUUGGUUUAGCAACAUUCAAGGUGGCACCAAGACCUACAAGUCAAAAACGAAAUCCCCAUUACGAGAAAGCAACAAAUCGCCCAUUCAAAGAUUUUUAUCAAAUCGUGUAUUUCUCCCGACCUGUAGAGAUUCCACAGCUGAGAACACAAACUUUGUCAAGAGGAGCAGCAGGAUUGAUCUUGGCAACACAGCCAACAUGAACCACAGUGUACUCGCUAAAGGUUGAGGUGCCAACAAAAUGGUAAAUGGGCUGCCCUCUGAUCGAAAACCUUGACUUGCCAUCAUUCAGCAUCACACCCCUGUCAGUGUUAAUCCUAAGAAGAUCGCACAUAUUACUCUCUUCUGAUUUGCAAUGUCGGCAUUCCUUACACUCUCCUGUGAAGACAGGAAGCACAUGGUCACCGGGUUUGAGGUCUGUCACACCCUCCCCAACACUCUCAACAAUCCUAAAAGCCAAGCGGACCAAAAAUCAAAUUAGUCACCUCAAUUCAUCGCUAUUACAACAGUCACAACCAACAUCUAAUCAUGACCAAUAAUGGACUAAUGGUUCAAAUUCAUACCCUCCUGCUUCAUGACCAAAUAUUCGAGGAAACAAUGGGGUUUGACCCUGCAAUUUCACAGCCCAUUUUCGUAAGCAUAAAUCUCUACUAGUAUGACUUAUAAAAAGACCAAUGAGCAGACAUAAUAAUCACAAUUGAAAAUGGAGUCACCUUGGCUUCCCAGAAGUAAACAUCAGUGUGGCAGAGGGAGGUAAAGAGGAUCUUCAAACGAACCUCCAUAGCUUGAGGAGGAGCCACCUCCACUUCUUCUAUUACCAGUGGCUUCCCAGCUUCCCAUGCCACAGCAGCUACAGAUUAAGCAAAUUGCAUCAAGUCAUUGCCAGACAUAAAUGAGAAAUCCAAAUACACAAAAUGACAACAGCACAUAGAACAUAUCACAGACCCCACAAGGAAUCAAGAACUUUCUUGGUUACCUUUGCAACAUAUGACUUGACCAGCAGUGCUUGACAUAUUUGUUUUUGUCUUAAACGAACUUUAGACCCUUCUUUAACGCUUCUUUGAUUACUUUGCUCUGUUUCUUGAGUUGUGACGAGACAGGUUGUCUUUGGAGGUAUUUAUAGUUGCAGAAGGACGCAUAUCUCUCCUGUUUUUUGGAUUAUGUUGACCAUAAAUUUGAAUAUUUCUUAAAAGAAAACCAUUUACGAUCCUGUUGUUUCAUUUGUCCUCUGUUUCUCUCUCUUGGUGGCAACAACGGCUCCCCCUGUUUCUGGCUUUCUCGCUGUUUCUGGUUUUGGCUAACUAUAAACCAGUCCUCAAACUAUACUAUACGUUUUAAUACAAUCUGCUAAAACAAUUUUUGCAAAUUUAUCGUUCAAAUGUCACUGUAUUUCUUUACAAAAAACCUAUCAAUUUUAAUAAUUUUCCUACGCAAAACAUUCUUGAAAAAGAAAAAAAAGAGAGAGAGUUUUGUAGUUUAUACAAAAAUUUGGUUGAGAUCACAAUUUUUCAGACUAUAUAGAAGUUUUAUUUUAUUUUUAUUUAUGUGAUUGAAAAUUCUUGUAGGGUAGUUUUUUCUUAAUUAAAGUUAUGAUAGCAAGUAGUUCUUGACACCCAAAAUACAAUCACAUGGUAAGGAACUGAUUUUUAAGUGAUUGAUGGUUUGAUGGUGAAAUUGAAAGAAAGUAUUUUUUUGACAUUUAAUUGAAAUCUAUAUCUUGAUUGAAGGGUUGAUUUGCAAUUAGCCUUCUAGUUUUGUAUUUCCAGUUGUGGUUUUGCUGUUUGUAUCUUAUUUUACUGCUGAGCCAGGCAGUUGACCUUUUAGAACAUUGUAAUACAGCCGGACUCGUAAUAAAUUACCUUUAUUAAUUUUUAAUGAGGUUUACGCUGCCAGAAGGUUUCUUUUAUAGAGAUAAACACAGCAAUUCUCUGAAAAUUUCUCUGGAAAAUUCAAAAAGUAUUUGAUUUUAAGUGCCUCGAGAAAACACUUUUAUUUAUUUUCCAAACAUUUUUUUAUUCAUUUUUACCACCAAAAAAAUGUUUAUAAAUCCCCAUUCGGUGAAAAAAUAACCACUUAAAUCUAUGCUACGACUUGAUUAAAAUAAAAUAAAAUAAAAGGUGCAGAGAAAACUGUCCCACCUCACAUUACAAUGAGGAUUGAAGCAUUUUUCUCUCUCACUUUUUUUUUCUUUGUUUUGUUUUUUUUUUAAUUAUUAAUUUUUUUUAAUUUUAUUUUUUGAUAUUAUGUUGGUUUGGAUUUGGAAUUAAUGAUUUAUUUUUAUUUAUUUUUUAUAUGGUUAUUGAGAUCUCAAUAAAACAUGUCAACAUCAUGUUGUUGCUCGUUUUCAUAAUUUUUUUUUAUUGUUUGUAAGAAAAUAAAAAUAAAGGGAUCAAAAUCAAAACAAAGAAAAAAUAGCAACCCUUUUGUUUUUAAAAAAACUUUUGUGUUAACUCUAGUUCUUUUUUUUUUUUUGCUUUCAAUCAUCGAGUUUUUUUCUUUUUGAUUUCAUCAUUCAAUAUUGUCUUGAUUACGAAUUAGAAUUUAUAACUUGUUUUGAUCUAUUUUUUAUGUGAUUAUCUCGAUCUCAAAAAAAUUAUUCCAACAUUGAACAAGAAUCUGAUUUUACAAAAAAAGAAGAUGGUUUUAAUGUUUGAAAAGGAUUGAAAUUAAGAGGACUAAAAUUGAAGCAAAGAAAAAAUGGAAGACCUUUAUUUAUAAAAAAAAAAAACAAAGAAAAUGGUGUUAGAGUGCUCGUGCUUAAUUUUGCUUUGGGAUAUUUUCAAAUUUCUUUUUUAGUCCCUUUCGUUUUGUAAUUAAAUAGUUUAGUUCAAAUUUUUUUUCUUAAAAAAAAAAAGGAGCCAUAAAAAAACAACGAAUGAAAAAAGACAGAGGACAGUUGGUUGAAUUUCAAUAAUAAAAAUAACCAAAUUUGAUGUCAAAAUAUUCAUCUUGAAGAAAAGAGUUUCAUUAAAGUGUUUUUACACUUUCAAGUUUUCAACAAAAGUAGAUCUACGUUGAGAGAGAGAUCUUUUGUUGUUUGACUUUGUGUUUUUUAAUAGAUUUUUGAGUUUUUGAGUUGUUGAAUUUGUUUUUUUUUAAUGUUAUAAGAGUAUUUUUAGGUGAAAACAAGUUAAAAAUAUGAUUUUCAAAUCAAAAAAAUCUUAGCUCGAUUUUACAACCACCUUUCUACUAGUCAAAAACUGUGUUUGUAGAUAACACAUCAUUUGUUUUUUUUUUUUUUAAAAAAAUAAAGUUAGAUGGACGACACGUCGUGUGGCUAAUUUAGAGAAUAAAUAAAAUAAGAGUAGGUCUGGGUUAGCAUGCUUUUACACCUGGACUUUUUUUUAAUUGUUUUCCCCAAAACAAUUAAUUUAAUUUCUUAAAAAUAGAUUAAUUUAAAAUAUGUUUUAAAAAUUAUUUUAAAAAUUAUUAAAUAAAUUAAAAAUAUAUUUUAAAUAUUAUUUUAUUAAAUUCCAUUUAAUUUUUGCUUUGUUCUCGAGUGAGAUAAUAGUAAUGUUUUUAUAAUAUUAGGAAACAUUUUUAUUUUGUGCAAUCCAUCGUAAUUCUCUUUUCUCAUAGUUUCUUUGCUAAGAUAGUCUAUUUCUACUAUCAUAUAAUUAAAAUAAAAAAUGGUAUAAAAAUGAACUUAUUAUAUCCACUCGAGUCUAUGACUUGGGUGGCUAGUUUGGGAGGCGACUUGUAUUGAUCAAAUUUAUCACCGUCUUAUUAAUUUUUUUUAAAAAAUAUUGUCUUGAAUUUGUUUUUAGUCAAACUAUAUUUUUACCAGUCAUAUAGGUUUUCCUCUCACUCACUAAGUCGACAUGGUAAUAUUAGAUCAACCCCUACACAAAUUAAUUUGAUACCCAAGCUAGAUAAGUAUUUAAAUCAGAAGGUUUUAAAGUUAACCAAUUAAGUUGGGUUAUGAGCUAAUGAAUAUAUUUUUUCUUACUAAUGGAAAACACAUUGACAUUGUUUUUUAAACUCAAUAUUUUUUUUGGUUUAAUUUGUGAUGUAAAAUGGGCUAAUUAUCUAGUUACAUUCUAAAACACUAUCUACAUAAAAAUAAUAUUAGAAAAUUAAAUUUGAGGAAGUCAUAUAAAAUUUACAAUAAAAAAUUAAGAUAAUAGAUAUUUUUUUCUCAUCCAAUUUUAAUGAGAAAAUAAUUUUAUAAACUCUACAUAUUAGGCUACCAUAAUCAUCCAUAAAGCAAUAAAUGAAAUCAUUAUAAAACAAGAGCUCUAAUCUUCAUAAAAACAAUAACAUGAUUUUUUAUUAGAAGAAUGUUUUUUUAAUAAAAAGCAUCUAUAAUUAAAAUAAAAGCUUGUAAAAAUCUUGAUCAUUUGAAAUAAUUAGGAAAAAAUAUAUCUUCAAUCUAAACUCUUUUAAUCGAAAACAUUGUUUUUUAGAUAAAAAAAAAACAAAUAUUAUGAUCUAAAUGCAAUUAUUAAUAAAAAAAACUAAAAUAAUGACUUAAAAUUUUGUACAAAAGGAAAAACCCCUAUUAAUGUGAUAAAAUAAAUUAAGAAAUCUAUUUAAAAUAACAUAAGUAGAAAAUUCUUUUUUCUUGAAUAAUAAUCUAAAUAUCAUGACAAGGUGCACCUCAAUAAAAAAGCUUGAAAAAAUUAGGAAAAAGUAUAAAAAGAGUCUAAGGGCCUAAAAUAUUAAGCGGACACACGUAGCUCAAGGAAGACAAAAGUUUGUGUGCAAGCUAUGCCUUUUUUUUUUAAAUGUUUAAGAGUGGACGAUAAGUUAAUUUUUUUUUUUAAUGAAGCAGAUGACACGUCUGCUUGCUUGCUCGAUUUAUGAUCAUCAAAGAGGUGGCUAAAAAGUCAUGAUAAAGGUUUUUUUAGGACCAAAAGACCUACUUUUUAGCAUAUUUUUAUCUAAAACCACCUAGUAAACAUUACAAGAAUCCUAAUAAAUCAACUUAUAUCAUCAAAGCCACCUUAAAUUGAUUAAAACCCAUAAAAUAAAGUUGACGAAAGUAAACUCUUCCCUAACCUUUAUCUGCAUUUUUCAGUAAGAUAGAAGCCCAAAAAUACUUAAAUGACUACCCUCCCAUUAAGAGGAACCCAAUAACACCAAAAUCAGCCUUGCUAGUGGCUGGAAUGUGGCCGACCAACUUCUUUCUCUCUCUUUUCUCAUUAUCCGUCGUCUCUCUCUCCUCUCAAAGUCCAAUGACUGAAAUAUAAUAGAAAUGAAGUUCGGUAUUUAAACCCGAAACCAUAAAAAAAGGGGACAAAACGGGGGAAAAUUAAAACUAUAGGACCGAACUGUAAUUCUCCAUGCCAAAGUGAAAAAAAGGGUUGGAUAUGCUUAGCCAUGUAAAUGUUGGUCAUUGUUGUUUCAAUUUUCUAAAAUUAAUAAAAUCAAAUUCUAUUUUCUAAAAUUGAGGAGCAAUUCUAAUGCAAUUAUAAGGUAUCGAUUACACAUAUAUCAUUUUUCUAGGGGUGAAGCUGACAACCAUCAUACUAGUAUUAGGAAUUGUAGCUGCAAAAGAUUUGCAUCUUAAGUAGUUAAAUGUGAAAAUUGCUUCUCAUGAAUAUUUAUAGGAAAAAUAUCUACAUAAAGCAGCCAAAAGGAUUCCCAGUAAAUGAACAAGAAAAUCUAGUUUGCAAACUAAAAAAAAGCUUGUAUGGCUUGAGUUAAUAAGAUUAGAAGGAGACCAUUGAUGUUAUGUGAAGAACUUUGAUAGCAAGUCAUAAAGUCUUAAGAAUAGAAUCGGUUAAAAUACAUUACCAUGUGAGACCGACAACGUGGAUUGAGAACUACAGUUUGAAGCUUAAUCUGGUCCUUUUUCCAUUUAAUUUUGUAGUAGUUUGGACUCUGUAUUUUUAUUUGUACUAAUUUCAACAUUUCAUUCUCAAUCUUGUCCUUCACCGUUACAAACAGUGUUAAGUCUUGCCGGCAACUGGUAGUACAUGUUUAACAAUGUUUUAAUCGGUAACUGAUGGAGGGAACUCUGACCACACAACUGAGCGGCUUUACGAAAAUUGGAGUUCAUUCUGUACAGACCAUGCUCUAUCUUCAGGCCCUCGGUAACGGGUUCCAAACAGCAUUUUGUCCGAACUGGCUAGUUUCCCUUCAGAUUAAUUGGAUCAAAGUUAUAUCUAGAACCACAAGUGAAGUUGCCAUUCUGGCCAGGCUUCAGGAUUUAUAUCAAAGUUUUCUAUCCACAGCACCAUUAAAAACACAAACUGAAAGAAAAAGAACAUGUGAUUCUUUGAUUUAUAUUUACAUGCCAGAAAUGGGCUAAUUAUAUAUAUAUUAUUUUUGCCAUCAACAAUGAAAGAAAUUACAUACUGAUGCUCAAACACCCAAACUCUCUUUAAUCAACAAUCUGAAACAAGAAUUUUAUUGUUUCCUGUCACACCAAGGCAAACCAAACCAGUCUUCUUUUAUGCACCCAUACGGAUAAUACACCUCAGGCCAGCUCCACUAAGCAUGUACUCGAAAGCCUUGUUGAUUUCUGAGAAAGGGACUUCAUGGGUGAUGAAUUUCUCUAGCUCCAGCUCCUGUCACAUUACAACUAGAUUAGUUAACAGUGAAAUAGAUUGUAUCAAAAUAAAAGAAGGAAUUGGAGUAGUUAAUUCUAGUCGACUACGCAUGUGCAAGUAUGGAAAUAUAUGCUCACACUACAUGCUAGCUGGAUAAUAUUAAUGGGAGCUCCGAUUUACCUUGUUCAUGUACUUCUCGACAACUGAAGGAAGGUCGGAGCGCGGUUUGUAGUUCCCGAAGAAGGUGCCCUUGAGAGUCCUCUCAUUCAGGACAUUCAUUGGAUGGGUUUUGAAAGAAUCAUCUUUGUUCGGCACACCAACAAGUACAGCAACACCCCAUCCAUCAUGGACGCAUUCAAAUGCAGAAAUCAUGGCAUUGACACUUCCAGUACACUCGACACUUCGAUCAACUCCUCCAUUGGUCAUUUCAGCUAUCACCUGAACACAGUAAAUCAAAAUUAGGACAGGCGUAAAGGAUUCGCCGAUGCUAGUGCUCAGAACACGAUUCUCUUUGUCACUUACCUCUUGAACAGGCUUGUUAUGAUCUUUUGGGUUCACAAACUCAGUGACACCAAACUUCUUGGCUGUUGAAAAAACACAAAUGAACAUCAGAAAGCAGUUAUUAUCACCAAGAAUCAACAUCAAGUCCACUUAAAUUUAUCUGUUUUGUGAUAUUAGCUAUUAGACUGAGCAAAGCAUCAAUCAAUAAUUUAAGAGAAAUGCUCAGCAGCCACAAUGAACAACAUCAUAGCUUCUCUCACCUUCAUCGAAUCUAUUGGAAUUCAAAUCGACACCAAUGAUUCUUGAAGCACCAGCAAUCCGAGCCCCUUCAGCAGCCUGGAUUAGGAAAAAACAACAAGAACAAGUUCUGCAUUAGCGCUACCAGCAGCUUGAACAGAAAAAAUUAUCAAUAAUCUACCAGUAUAAACAAACUUACCGCAAGGCCUACAGCUCCCAGUCCGAAAAUGGCUACCGAAGAGCCUUUCUUUGGUUUUGCAACAUUCAAGGUGGCACCAAGACCUACAAAUCAAAAGAGAAAUCCCCAUUAAAAGAAAGCAACAAAUCGCCCCAUUCAAUGAUUUUUAUCAAAUCGUGUAUUUCUCCCGACCUGUAGAGAUUCCACAGCUGAGAACACAAACUUUGUCGAGAGGGGCAGCAGGAUUGAUCUUGGCAACACAGCCAACAUGAACCACAGUGUACUCGCUAAAGGUUGAGGUGCCAACAAAAUGGUAAAUGGGCUGCCCUCUGAUCGAAAACCUUGACUUGCCAUCAUUCAGCAUCACACCCCUGUCAGUGUUAAUCCUAAGAAGAUCGCACAUAUUACUCUCUUCUGAUUUGCAAUGUCGGCAUUCCUUACACUCUCCUGUGAAGACAGGAAGCACAUGGUCACCGGGUUUGAGGUCUGUCACACCCUCCCCAACACUCUCAACAAUCCUAAGAGCCAAGAGGACAAAAAUUCAAAUUAGUCACCUCAAUUCAUCACUAUUACAACAGUCAGAGCCACCAUCUAAUCAUGACCAAUAAUGGACUAAUGGUUCAAAUUCAUACCCUCCUGCUUCAUGACCAAAUAUUCGAGGAAACAAUGGGGUUUGACCCUGCAAUUUCACAGCCCAUUUUCGUAAGCAUAAAUCUCCACUAGUAUGACUUAUAAAAAGACCAAUGAGCAGACAUAAUAAUCACAAUUGAAAAUGCAGUCACCUUGGCUUCCCAGAAGUAAACAUCAGUGUGGCAGAGGGAGGUAAAGAGGAUCUUCAAACGAACCUCCAUAGCUUGAGGAGGAGCCACCUCCACUUCUUCUAUUACCAGUGGCUUCCCAGCUUCCCAUGCCACAGCAGCUACAGAUUAAGCAAAAUGCAUCCAGUCAUUGCCAGACAUAAAUGAGAAAUCCAAAUACACAAAAUGACAACAGCACAAAGAAUAAAGAACACAUCACAGAUCCCACAAGGAAUCAUGAACUUUCUUGGUUACCUUUGCAACAUAUGACUUGACCAGCAGUGCUCGACAUCUUUGUUUUAAACGAACUUUAGACCCUUCUUUAACGCUUCUUUGAUUACUUUGCUCUGUUUCUUGAGUUGUGACGAGACAGGUUGUCUUUCUAGGUAUUUAUAGUUGCAGAAGAACGCAUGUCUCUCCUGUUUUUUGGAUUAUGUUGACCAUAAAUAUGAAUAUUUCUUAAAAGAAAACCAUUUACGAUCCUGCUGUUUCAUUUGUCCUCUGUUUCUCUCUCUUGUUGGCAACAACGGCUCCCCCUGUUUCUGGCUUUCUAGUUUCUCUAUUUAGUUUGUGUCUGGUUUUGGCUAACUACAAACCUGUCCUCAAACUAUGCUAUACUUUGUUAAUACUAUCUGAAGAAACAAUUUUGCAAAUUUAUCGUUCAAAUGUCACUGGUUUUGUAGUUUUGACAAACAUUUGGCAGAGUUCACAAUUUCUUAAACUAACUAGAAGUUUUAUUUUAUUUUGUGAUAAAAAAAACUAUCGUGUAGUGUUUUUUUAAUUAAUAUUACGAUAGCAAGUAGUUCUUGACACUCAAAAGAAAAAUUACAUUGUAUGGAAAUUAUUUUUAAGCGAUUAAUCGUUUGAUGGUAAAAUUGAAAAUGAGUAUAUAGUUUGACAUUUAAUUGAAAUAUCUAUCAUAAUUGAAGGACAUUUGUGCAAUUAUCGUUUCUAGUUUUUGUAUUUCCAGUUGUGGUUUUGCUGUUUGUUUCCUUUACACUGCAGCGGCAAGUCGUUGACCUUUUAGAAUCUUGUAAUACAGCCGGACAAACACUUACCUUUAUUAUUUUUUUAAUGAAGUGCAGGCUGUCAAAAGAAUUUCUUUUAUAGAGAAAACACAGACAUUUUCUGCAAUUUCUGGAAAAAUUUAAAAAACAUCUCAUUUAAAAUGCCCUGAGAAUUUAUUUUUUUUGUUUAUUUUGCAAACGUUAUAUUUUUUUUCUAAAAAAUAGAGAUUAUAAAUCAUCACUCAAAACACAAAUAACCAAUUAAUAUAUGAUAAGACUUAUUUAUGAGUAAUUAAAAACAAUUACAAUUCUUCAAAAAAUGUAUAAUCUAAUCUGAUUGGUUCAUUAAUAACUUAAAUGACUUGGAGUUUAAGUUAAGUCGAGUUUCAACAAUAACAAGAAUAAAAUUGAUUUGUGUGACCUGGUAAAAAAUUUGGGUUGACUCGCAACUCGAUCAGUCCAGGGAUAACCCAUUCAAAACCCGGUUAAAUUCCUUCAUUUGUUUUCAUUUUAAAUUUGGGUAAAUUACUCUAAGAAUCCUAUGGUUUGAUUUUUUUUUUUAACUUUGCAACUAGGUUUUUGAAUAUUACAAUUUAUAACUUGAAUUUUGAAGACAAAUAACAUUUUAUUCUUUAGAGUUGGUGUCACAAAAAGAGUCAACAAAUAAUAUUUAUUUAUUAAUAAAAUUUCAUUAUAUUUGAAAUAAUGGCUAAAGAGUUCUGAAAUGUAAAAAUAACAAAAACAUAACUAAAUUCUCUUUAAUAUACUCAAUCACAUAAUAAUCUAACAAGUAAAAUAAGCAAUCAUCAAUCCACCUUGUAAGAUAAUUUCUAAUAUGAAUUUUUUGAAGAUUAGUAUGUAAAAUUAAAAUCAUUUUGCCUCAGUGAGAGAACAUAUUUUACCCCAUUCAAACUAAUAGUGCCUUUGUGGGUUACAUCAUGAAUAUUCAACUUAUUACAUUAUUUAUAUGUAUGCCAACAAUAUUUGCAACAACCAAAUGCCAACAAUAUUUGCAACAACCAAAUGCCAACAAUAUUUGCAAUAACCAAGAACUUUCUUCAGCCCUAGAAAUUCUAGUCAUGCUCAAAAUAUUAACAGAGAAAAUCACACCACAGAUGUUCCAGCCAAGCACUUUCUUGGUUUGCUUGAUAACUAGUUGUUGUUUUCUUAGAUUAGGAGAGAGAGAAUUUUGUGUUUGUUUUGUGUAGGCAGAUUUGUCGAAGAGGUCGAUAGCCAUACUAAUCUUGCAGCGGGUGUUGGGUUUUCUAAAUAUCAUACAUAUAGCAGAAACUAGGAAACAAUAUUAUUUGAGAGUCCCUAGGAUCUCGUUAGAUAGAUCUAGAGUUGUUUAUGAAUUUAUUGCCUGAAGAUUUGAUCUUCUUCAGCUUUGAAUAAUUCUUUAAAAGUUGGGUUGUCGUAAAUCACAAGUUAUCCAAUUGUCCGGCCUUCAACAACAAUCCACAUGAACCAUCAAUGAGAAAUCUCUUAAAUUCCUAUUUAUAAGAAAGGGAUUGUUAUGCCUAGAGUGCUAGUUCUAAUUUUGUGCUUACGUAGUUUUUCUGUCUAACAUAAAACAUCUAUAAAAUAAGAGACAUAGCUUACUAUUUAUAGAAAAAUUUGAAAAACCAUAUAAAUUAACAAAAUGUCAAUUUGCCCCUGAAUAAUAUCUAUAUAUUAAUUCAGGAUAAUUUUGAAAAUUAACUCAAUCAAGUUCUUAUUUGAUUUUUCUAGAUUUAGAAAUAUAAUACUUGUAUUAAUUAUAUUCUAAUUCUUAAUUUCUAAAAUAUAUUUUAAUUAAGUCAUAUUUAAUUAAAUAAUCUCAGUUUAAUUUCUGACUGUUGGUUCUUAAUGCGUGUAACCCAUUAGGUUCCUAAUAUGUUGGCCCAAAUAUAAAUUAUAAUUCUAAUUAUAUAGAAUUAAAUAAAUUAAACAAUUUAAUUUAUUAUCAAUUAAAAAAUUGAUUAAUUUAUAUUUGAAGAUCAGGUGUAUCAUCUAGCAACAUGUCAUGAUCUAUUAAAUAUUAAAAAAAUCAUUAGUGGUUUGACCUAACUUUUCAGUGACUAGUUUCUUAGUGUAAUUAAUAUCCUUUCAUAAAUAAUGUUCUAAUUUAACAUUAAAGCAUAUAGUAUAUCUGCAAUGUUAAAUCAUGUUUGCUCUUUACAUAAUAGUCAUUGAUCGUUUUUAUAAGAUUUGAAACUCUUUUUAAAUCUUAUUCCACAUUGACCAAUGAUUUCUCAAUCAAUACUAUUUGAGAACAAAUGAAAUACUUUCCCUAAUUCACCUAGGGUGAUGAAUGUUCUCUUGAUCACUCAAGUACCUUUAUAUAGUUCAUGUUAUACCCAAUGUCUGUCAUUUCGUUACCUCGAUCAAGAUAACAUGUAACAUGAUUAAAGCAUAACAUUCUCUAUAUAAGAUACUUAGUGAUCUCAAGUCUAAGGAUCAUAUACACAACCGUCACAUGAGCUUUUUUAUAGACAUGGGUGAUCUCUCUAUAUGAAAUUCUCAUGUGGAUCAAUUUAGUAUACAUAUCUUCUAACAAACACCUACAUAUUAGUUCUAGGUAUCCCUUAUACCUCAACUUAUGAGAAUAUCUGCUUCCUUUCAUAAAUAAAAUAACAUAAUAUGUAUUAGUCUUUAUGGCUCUAAUGAAUGUCCAGUAUUUCAGAUAUCAUCGACCAAAAAUAUUUUAGGAACAAUAUUUUGAUGCAAUAAAAAUCUCAUAAUUAUAACAACUCUAUAAUUUUAUUUAAAAAUAUUUUUGUUCUAUGAAUUUUAUCUUUACUCUAGAUUUAUUAAUCUAAUAUUAUAUGAAUAUUAAAAAUAAAUUAAGCAUUUAUUAAUAAUAAAUAUGCAUUUACAUAAAUAUAAUAAUAUCACAUGUAACUAACCGAAUGACUACAUGACAUAUUAAACUAACAGCGGGCACCAAUAAUGGGGAUGAGGGAGGCAACAUGUAGGUGAGAAUGGUGAUGAGAGUGGCAUGGGGAAGAAGGAUGAUGGAUCUUGAUUGUUGUUAAUGAGGAUUCAUUGCUAAGGUCUGGAUCUACUAGGUUUUCUUGUAGUUUUCUUGAUUUGCUCGAUAAUUAUUUCUUGAUUUCUUAGAUGGUUUGGAUCUACUGUUUGUUUUUUUUUUUUUUGUAUUUUGGUUAGGGGGUUUGAACAAGGAGAGAAUAAGUGGUGUGGUUAUGACUAUCAUGCACACUUUAAUAUAUGUGAGGGUAUUAUUGUUUUUUUGUUGUUUUUUAAAAUCUACUUUGAUCAAGGUUGCAAAGUGUAAUAUUUAAAACUUUGUUGCACAGUGAAAAAAAUAAUCAAACCAUAUAAUGCUAAAAGUAAUUUACCCUUUAAUUGUUUUUUUUUUAAAUGAUGUCAUUUUUACUUUUUUAUAAAAUAAAAAGAAUGAAUCAACUCGAGUCAACCCGCUAACUCAGACCUUGCCAUAGAUUAGGUUUAAAAACUAUGCUUAUAAGAGAAAAAAAAAUAUUUAAAUGAGUCAUGAUAAGUCAUUAAAGACUUAUAUUUUUCACUUGAGAGAAUCAUGGGUUCUUCUUGGUAUAUUAUCGGACUUGGGCUUAAAUAGAAAAUGGAGUAGCUUAUUUGGAUAGGGCUAGGUUAUUCAGAGUUGGAAAAAGAGUUGAACAAUGGCAAAACUUGGCCCUUCUUGAUAUCUAAUUGAUAAGUUUUUUUUAUAUGGAUAGAGGGUUAUCUGAUACUUAAAUCAACAACUAUUUAUUAAAGAAAAUGUAUUGAAUGUAAUCUAUGACCAGAUUGUUUAUAAUGAAACUAAAUGAUAUUGUAUUGGAUCACUUCAAGAAAGGGAAAGAAUCAUUCUCCAUUCUUAUCAUGAAUGCUUACCUAAUUAUAUAGUUGUAAAACUACUAGACUAUAUAGAUAUUUUUUAAAGUACUUUGUUAUCUUUCUAAAAAUCUCUCCUUUAUUAUAUUGUUUGUCAAGAUUUAUAUAAUGGUUAUGUUACUUCUUCUUUCAUACAAAGAAGGUAAAAAAUAAUAAUCUUAUCUUAAUUAUGUGGGGUAAUUACCUUAAUUAUGAUAAGUCAUUUUACUAAACUAGAGUGUCCAAGGAGCUAGGCAUACCACCAUAAGGUUUUCUUUUUAAUCGAGUCAAUUAUGUUACUGAAAACCUAUCAAGUUUUACCAAUUUUAUAUUUUUUUAUUGAACUUGAAACCUAACUAAGUACAAACUCUAAAUUGGUCGAUCAAUGUUUAAUAACUGAUGUGUCCUAAAAUCCAAGAUGUUUGAGAAUAAGGCUUAUAUAUUGGAUAAUCAGUUAAUCUUUUAGUUCAAGUAAUUUAAUCUAUUUUUUUUAACCAAGAUGUCUAAUGGCUUGAUAUAAAAAAUCAUGGUGGUUGAUAGCCGGUAGCAACAAUAUCUUCUCCCUGGUGGCUAUAAAUUUUUCCUAACCAAGAGUCCUAAAUUAAAUGCUAGCAUACCCAGUAGAGGUGAUCAUUUUCAGUUUGGUUAGGUUUUUAUAAAAAAAAAUAACCAAACCGAAUUUUUUUAAAAUAAAAAAAAAAACCGGUUCAAACCGACCGGUUUCGGUUCUGUUCGGUUUUUUUGGAUAAAAACCGGUUCAAAUCGAUUUGGCUCGGUUUUUUCAGUUUGGCUCGGUUUUUUUGGUUUAGCUCGGUUUUUUUCCAGGUUUUUUUUUCGGUUUCAGACUUAUAAAAAUGAAACCAAAACGAACCAGUCGGUUUUUUCAAAAUUUUAAUCGAUUUAAUCGAUUUUUUUUCAUGGUUCAGUUUUUUAAUUUUUUUUUUUUCAGUUUUUUUUUCACCCCUAAUACCAGUAUCUUAAUCAAAUGGGUCCAAACACUAUCCUUGAACAGAAUAAUAAGACCUGGCACGCCCAACACCCAAAUUAAUUGGAAGAGUGCUGGCGCACCCAACAUCACCCAAUUAAUUGGGAUGGUGUCAGUACCCCCAAUUAAUUUAGGUGCCAGGCACGUGCUCAACACCAAAAAAUUAAUUGGGUCUCAGAGUUACACAGGAAACUAAUUUGAGAAUCACGUUCCCUUAUUAUCUAAAGCUUAAGAUGGUACCUUUACUUUUAAUUUUAUACUAAUUUGGACUCUCUAUUUUUAUUUGUAUUAAUCUCAACCUUUUAUUCUCAUUUUUGUUAUUAGUUAGUCCUCUUGUCCAUCACCAUUACAAGUAGUCUUAAAUCUUUCCGGCAUCUGAUACAUUUUUAACAGCUAAGUUUAACGAUGUUCGUAUCAGUAACUAACUGAUGGAGUGAAUUCUGACCUCUGUGCACCAAUACGAAAUUUGGAGUUCAUUCCGGACAAACCUUGCUGUAUCUUCUGCCGCUCGGUAAUGGGUUCCGAACAGCAUUGUGUUUCUGACCAGACCAAAUUUGAGCCAUGCCUAAUUUCCCUUUAGGUUCAUUGGAACAUAGUAAUCUCUAGAACCAGAAGUGAAAAUGCCAAUCUGGCCUGGCUUCAGGAUUUUUUUUUCAAUGUUUUCGUAUCCAUAGCACCGUGAAAGACAAACUGAAAGGGACACAAAAAGCACUGAAAAAGUACAAGUCAAAUUUUGAUUUACAUAUACAUACCAGAAAUGGGCUUUAAUAUUUUUUUUUCCAUCUACAAUGAAAGAAAUUACACACUGUUUUAUCAAAAACUCUGACACUCAAACACAGAAACUUUCUUUAAUCAACAAUCUCAAACAAGAAUUUUAUUGCUUCCUGUCACACCAAGGCAAACCAAACCAGUAUUCUUUUAUGCACCCAUACGGAUAAUACACCUCAGGCCAGCUCCACUAAGCAUGUACUCGAAAGCCUUGUUGAUUUCUGAGAAAGGGACUUCAUGGGUGAUGAAUUUCUCUAGCUCCAGCUCCUGUCACAUUACAACUAGAGAAGUUAAAAGUGCAGGAGAUUGCAUCAAAAUAAAAAGAAGGAAUAACUACUGAUUUCAUUCCCGUGACACAAGUUUCAAAAUUCAAUGCAAGUGUAUUAGCAUUGCACUACCAAAGAAGGUUAAUAAUUUUCAUUUUCACAUGUAAAGGUGAUCAUUUUAAGUUGAUGUUGCGUCCAUGAUUUUAUCUUUAAGUUCCCUCUAAGAAAUACCAACAGAGCCGUAAUUCUAGUCUACUACAUAUGUGUAAGGAUGGAAAUAUAUGUUCAUACUGCAUGCUGGAUAAGAUUAAUGGGAACUCCGAUUUACCUUGUUCAUGUACUUCUCGACAACUGAAGGAAGGUCGGAGCGCGGUUUGUAGUUGCCGAAGAAGGUCCCCUUCAGAGUCCUCUCAUUCAGGACAUUCAUCGGAUGGGUUUUGAAAGAAUCAUCUUUGUUCGGCACACCAACGAGUACAGCAACACCCCAUCCAUCAUGGACGCAUUCAAAUGCAGAAAUCAUGGCAUUGAUGCUUCCAGUACACUCGACACUUCGAUCAACUCCUCCAUUGG
rnacentral:lncRNA from 1 species